rnacentral:rRNA from 1 species
UACGAAGGGGGCUAGCGUUGCUCGGAAUCACUGGGCGUAAAGCGCACGUAGGCGGACUCUUAAGUCGGUGGUGAAAUCCUGGAGCUCAACUCCAGAACUGCCUUCGAUACUGAGAGUCUCGAGUCCGAGAGAGGUGAGUGGAACUGCGAGUGUAGAGGUGAAAUUCGUAGAUAUUCGCAAGAGCACCAGUGGCGAAGGCGGCUCACUGGCUCGGUACUGACGCUGAGGUGCGAAAGCGUGGGGAGCAAACAGG